rnacentral:lncRNA from 1 species
UGCGCCUGCAAAGAGGAGAGAUCAGAGGACAUUUACAAAAUCACAGUCCUCCCACGGUGGUGGGAAAAGGUUACUGUAGUAUGUCCUAAGGGGUGAACAGCGUGCCCAAGGGAAACAGUAAGGACAGGGCAAGACCCAGGAAAGCAACAAAAAUUUAGAUGUUGUCUAUGUGGCUGCCCCAGUGCCCGCUGCCUCGUUUCUCAGAGCUAAUCAAGGGAAGCGUAACUAGUCCAGGCGGCAGGACGAGUUUACAACAACUGACAGUAACUAUAACAUACGCCAGUUUGUAUUAAGAUGUUAUUGCACCUUUCCAGUUCUAAUCACCAAUUAUGACUCUAUUACUCCUACUUGGCAGUUCAUCUGCUCCUGCCUCCGCUAAGGGCGACUUGGAGACGGACCUCUGAUCUCCCGGUUCCACUUCAGUGAGCGCUCAGCACGGCGGCUGUCAUUUGCAGACACUGAAGAGACUAACAUGAGGACCCAUCCCUGGUCAGGAGGACUUGCCAAAGAAAGCAGAAAUGCAUAUAUGUUUUAAAUGGGUGCAUUUGGUGCCUCUCUCAGUCCAGAAAGAGGGAAGAAAAGGAUGACGAAAGGAUGCAAACAGAAAAAGAACGAAGAAAAGACAAACUUAUCCGUAAUAAAUGCUAUGGCUUCAGGCAGGUCAAGAAAAAUCAUCAAGUCCUGUGAGUAAAUCUACCACAAUGUAGCAGGGUCCCCAAAAGGCACUGAAAUCUAAAACAAAAUUCAAGUUGUAGAGUGUGGUAGCUGGCCCUGAUCACCCCUGCCUCUCAGGAUUCAUACCACUGUGAAAUCCUUUCCCCUUUAACAACGAUCAGACUCAGUGAUUUCCUUCUAACAAAAAGAAUAUGGCAAAAGCAGUAAGACGUCACUUCCGUGGUUACAUUACAAAGAACUGUGACUUUCAUUUUACCAAUGGAUUCUAUUUCCUUCUUGGCUUACAUGCUUCGAUAAAGCCAGCAGCCAUGAUGGAGAUCCCUACGUGGCAAGGAACCAAACACCAGGCAGGAAAGGAAGCCUUCAAUCCACUGGGCCAUAAGGAACUGAGUCCUACCAGCAAGCACGUGGGCUUGCAAGUGGAUCCUUCCCUGCUGAGUCUUGAGAUUGUUACCUGGUAUAAUGCCUACUUGACAUAGGUGAAUUUCUACCCUGUAAUAACACUGCUUAUCUUUAAGAAACAGGACACCUGUGAUAAAAAGUUCCCUCUGUAACCAGACCAGCUGAGAUUUGUUAGAAGCAAGAUAGCCGACCCAAGGACUUCAAAAAGACCUCAGGUGUCAUUAUAAUCCUAUUUCCAUGCUAAACAGCCCCCUCACCAGCGCCAAGACAGUUGACAAUCACCAUGACAAUGAUCAGAAGCAGCCAUAAAAGGAUAAAAAGGAAGGCAACACUCUGGUUCCGGGAAGUUCACUGCCCAUUUCAAGAGAAGACAUGAUUAUUCCUCCCCUUGAUUUUAAUGUCCAGCCUCUUCAUUAAAACAGCAACAACAACAAAGUCUAUAUUUUAACUUCCUCACCCCUCAUUAGUGGAGAAGCUGAUUUGUGAAUUUGUGAGCCAUGCUCCUGCUUCUCAAUUCCAUGGCCAUUGAAUAAAGCCUGUACUGCUUGACACUACUUUCGGUUUUGUGUGUUGGCUUCAUGACACCCAACAGGAUAAGACCCCAUUCUUUUGGGGCACCAGCUUUGUCGGUAAGAAGUU